ACGGCUCAGUAACACGUGGAUAACCUACCCUCAGAUCUGGGAUAACUCCGGGAAACUGGAGAUAAUACCGGAUAAUCCGUGAACGCUGGAAUGCCUUACGGUUGAAAGCUUUAGCGUCUGAGGAUGGGUCUGCGGCCGAUUAGGUAGUUGCUGGGGUAACGUCCCAACAAGCCGAUAAUCGGUACGGGUUGUGAGAGCAAGAGCCCGGAGAUGGAUUCUGAGACACGAAUCCAGGUCCUACGGGGCGCAGCAGGCGCGAAAACUUUACACUGCGCGAAAGCGCGAUAAGGGGACCUCGAGUGCGUGCGCAAUGCGUACGCUUUUCAGAUGCCUAAAAAGCAUCUGGAAUAAGGGCCGGGCAAGACCGGUGCCAGCCGCCGCGGUAACACCGGCGGCUCAAGUGGUGGCCGCUAUUAUUGGGCUUAAAGGGUCCGUAGCCGGACCAGUUAGUCCCUUGGGAAAUCUUACGGCUUAACCGUAAGGCUGCCAAUGGAUACUGCUGGUCUUGGGACCGGGAGAGGCAAGAGGUACCUCAGGGGUAGGAGUGAAAUCCUGUAAUCCUUGAGGGACCGCCAGUGGCGAAGGCGUCUUGCUAGAACGGGUCCGACGGUGAGGGACGAAAGCUAGGGGCACGAACCGGAUUAGAUACCCGGGUAGUCCUAGCCGUAAACGAUGCGAGCUAGGUGUCACGUGGAUUGCGAAUCCAUGUGGUGCCGAAGGGAAACCGUGAAGCUCGCCGCCUGGGAAGUACGGCCGCAAGGCUGAAACUUAAAGGAAUUGGCGGGGGAGCAC
rnacentral:rRNA from 1 species